UCCGGCUUAUCACCGGCGGUUUCUUUAGAGUGCCCAACUAAAUGAUGGCAACUAAACACAGGGGUUGCGCUCGUUGAGGGACUUAACCCGACAUGCCACCACACGAGCUGACGACAGCCAUGCAGCACCUGUCUCUUUGUCGUAUUGCUACGAAAGACGUAUCUCUACGUUUGUCAAAGGAUGUCAAACCCAGGUAAGGUUCUGCGCGUUGCUUCGAAUUAAACCACAUAAUCCACCGCUUGUGCGGGCUCCCGUCAAUUCCUUUGAGUUUUAGUCUUGCGACCGUACUUCCCAGGCGGGGUACUUAUCGCGUUAGCUCCGGAUCGGCAGGGGUCAACUCCCACCAAUCCUAGUACCCAUCGUUUACAGCGUGGACUAC
rnacentral:misc_RNA from 1 species